CGUGUGCAGCGAGCGCUCGAUAUAAUUCGAUUGUUUUUUAAUGGUGUGUAUUUGUUGACACGGUGUAGUUUAAGGUUUAAAGACGUGUUUAUUUGAUGUUUACGGAAGGAGUCUCCAGUAUCAGCGAUCAAGACGCAGGAUCUGUCACAGCAUGUAGAGUUUUAUCAUACAGCCAGUCCAAGGCUGAUGAUGUCACCGCUGUGGAUGGACAGAUGGACGGAUGGACAGAAGGAAACUCUCUUAAACUGGUUCAGAUUCAUUUGAAUUCUUUUGAUGAUGAAAUGAGAUGAGAUUUUUCGUGCAGGGUUCCACAUCACACGACGUACUGUGCGUUUCUAAUGCAACUCUCGACGUGAAGGUUGAGGAGUAACUUUAGGAUAAAACAAGGAACCUCUCCAGACCUCCUCGGUGGUUCCACCGUGGGGGAAAGGAACAGCAUGUAGGAUGAUGUACUGUAUCAGACGUGCCCGGUAAGCUACGUUAGAACGCCGUGAAAACGCUAGAAAUGGCGGUGCAGGAGUGUGUGCUGGCCUUGAGCAGCCAUGAAUCAGCGGCGUGUGUGUGUGUAAUUCACAAAUAUAUCUACAGGAACCAUCAGCUCCUGUGCUUAUGCAGCGCUGAGUAGAGUGCGAAAACAAGGUGUGUGGCUUGAUAUUUACACUCCCGUCUAGUGCCUCUCGAAUGAUGGCUCCCUGAUGGCCGCGGGAAAAAGCAAUAAACAGCGCGCGAGGCCUUAAAGACACGCCUCGGAGACAGCGGUGGGCAAAUAACCAAAACAUUUUCACCUUUCCGCGAUGUGUUUACCCUGCUGCCGAGGUAUUAAAAAAGUGCAGAGCGAAGGGGCUGUAAUGAAAAUGUCGUGGAGGAACCGCGAGAGGCGUGCACCGCGUGAGCCUAACGCGCCGCCCGCGUCGUCUGGACGACGGUUCAAUCUGCCGGGCCGCACUGAUGAGGUCUGCAGGGGCGAGUUAUUAUCUAUCACGUAUUAUUUAUCACGCAUCAGCUCCGCGUCCGGAUUCCCUCGAGUCUCGUUUUUCAGUCCCUGCACGACUGGAAUGGAAAUGUCAAGCCAAAAUGCUAACAUUGCUAACGAUGAAGAGGGAGGGAAGAAAUCAGCGUCCAUCAGCACUGUCGAGAUCAUUCUAGCCCACGUUCGGUGACGCACGGCGUAUGAUCACUAUAAUCACGCUGUGAGGAUUUGUUCCGCCGUGCUGACGAAGUGGAUCAGGUCUGUUCUAGUAAAGACCCUUACUUCCUAGAGGUGAGGAGAAAAAGGAAAGCGUGACCCUGACGAUUGAACCGUAAGAGCUCAUACGUGGGGACGGACACGGCGGACGCCAGACUCACGUUAUCUUUGACAAGAUGUUUAUGGAAGGAGUCUCUAGUGUCACUUUAAGUUUUCCGGCACCUCCAGGACAGAGGAGUUGACACUUUGCGCUUUCAUGACAAGCCGUGUGUGUGUGUGUGUGUGUGUGUGUGUGUGUGUGUGUGUAUUUUUUUUUUUUAAAUCCUAUUAGCAUUUUUAAGAGAGAGAUAAAAUGCGGUGAAGAAACGAUUGAUUACAGCUGCUAUAGCGUAAGUGAGACCGUUCCACGACGUUGAACGUGACUACCAGCGGAUAAAAACGUAGAAUAUGUGUAUUUAAUAAAUAAAUAAUGAAUAUCGAAUUGUAAUCAUUGCCUAAAUGCUGUGCUGUAAGAGGAAUAAAGCACUUCAGGGCGUACAGUUAGGAGCUGGAAAUAACCAGCUUGUUCUUGAGCAUCAUUAGACCACUCCGUUGUGGAUUAUUCUCCUCUAACAGAAUAAAAUGGAGUGUUUUGUUUCUUA